GGACUAUAGCUUGGUGGUAGAGCAUCCGCUCUGCAUGCAGAAGGUCUCAGGUUCAAUUCCCAGUAUCUCCA